AUACGUAGGGUGCGAGCGUUAAUCGGAAUUACUGGGCGUAAAGCGUGCGCAGGCGGUUAUUUAAGCCAGUCGUGAAAUCCCCGGGCUUAACCUGGGAAUUGCGAUUGGGACUGGAUGGCUAGAGUGCGGCAGAGGGAGGUGGAAUUCCACGUGUAGCAGUGAAAUGCGUAGAGAUGUGGAGGAACACCGAUGGCGAAGGCAGCCUCCUGGGCCAGCACUGACGCUCAUGCACGAAAGCGUGGGGAGCAAACAGGAUUAGAUACCCUGGUAGUCCACGCCCUAAACGAUGUCGACUAGUUGUUGGGGAAGGUAACUUCCUUAGUAACGUAGCUAACGCGUGAAGUCGACCGCCUGGGGAGUACGGCCGCAAGGUUAAA
rnacentral:rRNA from 1 species